UAAGAUAUUGAAUCAAAGGGACAAAACAUAUUUGUACUAAAAUAAUUUUAUUUCACCUUUGUUUACAAAAAUAGCCGGUUAACGUGACCGUGGUCGACUUUGCCCGUGUCUCCCCUGUACUAGGAUGCCAGAAUCGGGAAGCGGAAAUGUACAAUUAUUUGAGAAGUCAAUCAGUCGUUCGCUAUCCAUUUGCGUGACAACCAGUGCUGCCAUUUUAACGCUUUGGGCGCUAGAUCUAGCGCUUUUUUAUGUGUUUGGUGCGCUUUACAGAAUUAUGGCACCUAGCGGAUAAUCUGGUGUUUUUUUUAAUUUACAUCAUGACAUAUUAAAAAACUCUAUGGCUCUAUCAGCAUCAGUUAUUUUAAAGCCUAAUAGAGUGUUUUUUUGUUUGUUUGCUUUAUUUCAUUCAAGAAAAAUUGUUCUUUUAGCGCGAUAUCUAGCGCUUUUUUAAAGCACAAUUUCCAAGAAAUCGAGCGCUUUUUUACAUCUUACAGCGCUCAAUCGGAUUUUUGGUCUGGCAGCACUGGUGACAACAUUGUUUGUGUUUUGACUUUUUCGUACACGUGUUCUCUUUCGUGAUUUCUUUGAGUAAUUCAGAAUAUUAUUACGACUACAAUGAACAUUAUUGGUCGCAUACCUAGCUACCAAUCCACAUGUUUUUACGGAGUCAUCUUUCCAGUACCAGUGGCGGAUAAAUGUGUUGGCUGGAUGCUGGAAUAGUCGGAGAUGUUGUCGUUGAACCAUAUUUUUUGCCUAACAGCCUAAAUUUCCUAGAAAAUUACUUAAAUGAGGAACAGUAAUGCCAGUGAGAAGUUACGUGGAUAUCGUGAUGGAAAACAACCUAAUAUUCCAACAUGGUGGCGCUCCAGCUCACUUCGCUCGUGAUGAGCGCAGCCACCUCAAUGCCCGGUUCCCGGAAUGGAUUGGACGAGGAGGACGUAUCGCAUUGCCUCCGCGGUCUCCAGAACUCACACCACUUGACUUUUUUUCUGGGGAUACAUUAAAAAUAAAGUGUAUGCGUCGGAUUCCCCUUCGAGCGAAGAAAUGGUUGCCCGCAUCAAACCGCAUGCGAUACUGUAACGCCAGGAAUGCUUCGCAAUGUCUGGGUUUCCAUUUACCGGAGAGCUGACUUGUGCAUCCAAGGAGGUCGACGUUUUGAACCCUUUCUUUGAAAGAAUCUUCGUCAAACGUUCGCCGCCUUGCCGCGAUCUCUUUGACGGCGCCGACAAAGCGGCUACCUACGACUUAGGUCGCCGACGGUACCAGGAGAAAAUGACGAGUGAGGAGUUAGUGUUUUAGUGUACAUCGAUAGUGUCUUAGUGUGUGUGUUGUUUUGAAUUGGGGAUGUUGACCCGAUAGUGAUUUGCCACGUUUGUUUACAUUUAAAUAAAUACAUUUUAUUGCGAAAUUUUAUUGACAUGCAUUUAUGAACAUGGUGAUAAGGACCAGCAGUAGCAGUAGGAAGAAUCUAUUUAAGGUAUAGUAUCCACCCACUUUUUAUGAUAACCCCCUUUCCGUUACACCUUGUAUAUA
rnacentral:lncRNA from 1 species